UGCUGGAGGUAUCAGAAGUGCGAAUGCUGACAUAAGUAACGAUAAAGCGGGUGAAAAGCCCGCUCGCCGGAAGACCAAGGGUUCCUGUCCAACGUUAAUCGGGGCAGGGUGAGUCGACCCCUAAGGCGAGGCCGAAAGGCGUAGUCGAUGGGAAACAGGUUAAUAUUCCUGUACUUGGUGUUACUGCGAAGGGGGGACGGAGAAGGCUAUGUUAGCCGGGCGACGGUUGUCCCGGUUUAAGCAUGUAGGCGGAGGUUCCAGGUAAAUCCGGUACCUUUUAACGCUGAGGUGUGAUGACGAGGCACUACGGUGCUGAAGUAACAAAUGCCCUGCUUCCAGGAAAAGCCUCUAAGCAUCAGGUAACACGAAAUCGUACCCCAAACCGACACAGGUGGUCAGGUAGAGAAUACCAAGGCGCUUGAGAGAACUCGGGUGAAGGAACUAGGCAAAAUGGUGCCGUAACUUCGGGAGAAGGCACGCUGAUAUGUAGGUGAAGCCCCUGCGGGUGGAGCUGAAAUCAGUCGAAGAUACCAGCUGGCUGCAACUGUUUAUUAAAAACACAGCACUGUGCAAACACGAAAGUGGACGUAUACGGUGUGACGCCUGCCCGGUGCCGGAAGGUUAAUUGAUGGGGUUAGCGGCAACGCGAAGCUCUUGAUCGAAGCCCCGGUAAACGGCGGCCGUAACUAUAACGGUCCUAAGGUAGCGAAAUUCCUUGUCGGGUAAGUUCCGACCUGCACGAAUGGCGUAAUGAUGGCCAGGCUGUCUCCACCCGAGACUCAGUGAAAUUGAACUCGCUGUGAAGAUGCAGUGUACCCGCGGCAAGACGGAAAGACCCCGUGAACCUUUACUAUAGCUUGACACUGAACACUGGUCCUUGAUGUGUAGGAUAGGUGGGAGGCUUUGAAGCGUGGACGCCAGUCUGCGUGGAGCCGUCCUUGAAAUACCACCCUUUAAUGGCUGGUGUUCUAACGUAGACCCGUAAUCCGGGUUGCGGACAGUGUCUGGUGGGUAGUUUGACUGGGGCGGUCUCCUCCCAAAGAGUAACGGAGGAGCACGAAGGUUAGCUAAUCCUGGUCGGACAUCAGGAGGUUAGUGCAAUGGCAUAAGCUAGCUUGACUGCGAGAGUGACGGCUCGAGCAGGUGCGAAAGCAGGUCAUAGUGAUCCGGUGGUUCUGAAUGGAAGGGCCAUCGCUCAACGGAUAAAAGGUACUCCGGGGAUAACAGGCUGAUACCGCCCAAGAGUUCAUAUCGACGGCGGUGUUUGGCACCUCGAUGUCGGCUCAUCACAUCCUGGGGCUGAAGUAGGUCCCAAGGGUAUGGCUGUUCGCCAUUUAAAGUGGUACGCGAGCUGGGUUUAGAACGUCGUGAGACAGUUCGGUCCCUAUCUGCCGUGGGCGCUGGAGAAUUGAGGGGGGCUGCUCCUAGUACGAGAGGACCGGAGUGGACGCAUCACUGGUGUUCGGGUUGUCAUGCCAAUGGCACUGCCCGGUAGCUAAAUGCGGAAGAGAUAAGUGCUGAAAGCAUCUAAGCACGAAACUUGCCCCGAGAUGAGUUCUCCCUGAGACUUAAAGUCUCCUGAAGGAACGUUGAAGACGACGACGUUGAUAGGUCGGGUGUGUAAGCGCAGCGAUGCGUUGAGCUAACCGAUACUAAUGAACCGUGAGGCUUAACCUUACAACGCCGAAG
rnacentral:rRNA from 1 species